UGUGCUCAAUGGUGUGGAGGGCUUUACCUCUGACGGACUGAGUCGUUCCCACAACUUUUUGCAGGAUUUUCCAUUGCAACCAGUUAAUAUAUUCUGCACCACACAUCUAUAGAAGUCUGUGAAAGUUUUAAAUGUUAUGCCAAUUAUCUCCAAACUUCUAAGGAAGAAAAGACUCUGCCAAACUUCCCUCAUAAUGGAACUUUCAAUCUCCCUCCUACGUGCUGAUUCGUCACCACCUUUGAUUCAGCUAAUAACAGUGGUGUCAUCAGCAAACUUGAACAUGGUGUUGGAGCUGUGCUUAGCCUCAUAGUCAUCAGUGUAAAGACAGCAGAGCAGGGGGCUAAGUAGACAAAUCAGGUGCAAGAGCCAUGACGAGGUAGAUUGAGAGAUUGAGAGAUUAAAAGUUUACCUUUAUUGUACAAGAGGUCUGCUCACGAAUCUUAUAGGAGCAAGAUAAAAACUGUUUUCAAGCUCUUGUGUCUUCUGCCCAAUGGAAGGAGUUAAAGAGUUAAUGUCUGGGGUGGGAGGGGUCUUUGAUUCUGUGCACUUCUUUCCAAGGCAGAGAGGAAGUGGAAGAUGGCAAACCAAGAUAAUGAAGACAUUAGUAUACUCUGCCUGUAGAGAAGUGCAACUGAAAGUUUGGACAAGUAAAGGUGCUCCUUCCAGCUUCAGAAACUGUACCGAACAAAGACCCGGUGAAACCUGUAGGGAAGCAGAUAUCGACUUGAGCAUCGAGGACAUCUUCAAAAGGUCAUUCCUCAAGAAGGCAGUAUCCAUCAUUAAAGACCCCCGUCACCCAGGACAUGCCCUCUUCUCGUUGCUACCAAUAAUGAGGAGCUACAGGAGCCUGAAGACACACACCCAACGUUUCAGGAACAGCUUCUUCCCCUCCACCAUCAGAUUUCUAAAUGGACAAUAAACCCAUGUUCACUACCACACUAUUUUUAAAAAAUUUCUUUCAUCUCUUUGGCACUACUUAUGUAAUUUAUUAUAUAUAUUUCUUAUUGUAAUUUAUGGUUUUUAAUAUCAUGUUUUGCAAUGCACAAAACAACAAAUUUCACGACAUACU